rnacentral:rRNA from 1 species
AUGAACGCUGGCGGCGUGCCUAAUACAUGCAAGUCGAGCGAACAGACGAGGAGCUUGCUCCUCUGACGUUAGCGGCGGACGGGUUAGUAACCCGUGGAUAACCUACCUAUAAGACUGGGAUAACUUCGGGAAACCGGAGCUAAUACCGGAUAAUAUAUUUAACCGCAUGGUUCCAUAGUUAAAGACGGUUUUGCUUUCACUUAUAGAUGGAUCCGCGCCGCAUUAGCUAGUUGGUAAGGUAACGGCUUACCAAGGCGACGAUGCGUAGCCGACCUGAGAGGGUGAUCGGCCACACUGGAACUGAGACACGGUCCAGACUCCUACGGGAGGCAGCAGUAGGGAAUCUUCCGCAAUGGGCGAAAGCCUGACGGAGCAACGCCGCGUGAGUGAUGAAGGUCUUCGGAUCGUAAAACUCUGUUAUUAGGGAAGAACAAAUGUGUAAGUAACUAUGCACGUCUUGACGGUACCUAAUCAGAAAGCCACGGCUAACUACGUG